rnacentral:tRNA from 1 species
ACUUCUGUGGCGGAGUUGGUUAACGCGCCCUACCUAGCGAACAUAAGGAGACGUAGGUUCAAACCCUACCAGAACUA